rnacentral:rRNA from 1 species
AGCGAACGCUGGCGGCAGGCCUAACACAUGCCAGUCGAACGAACUCUUCGGAGUUAGUGGCGGACGGGUGAGUAACACGUGGGAACGUGCCUUUUGGUUCGGAAUAACUCAGGGAAACUUGUGCUAAUACCGAAUGUGCCCUUCGGGGGAAAGAUUUAUCGCCAUUAGAGCGGCCCGCGUCUGAUUAGCUAGUUGGUGAGGUAACGGCUCACCAAGGCGACGAUCAGUAGCUGGUCUGAGAGGAUGACCAGCCACACUGGGACUGAGACACGGCCCAGACUCCUACGGGAGGCAGCAGUAGGGAAUCUUGCGGAAUGGGCGAAAGCCUGACGCAGCCAUGCCGCGUGAAUGAUGAAGGUCUUAGGAUUGUAAAAUUCUUUCACCGGGGACGAUAAUGACGGUACCCGGAGAAGAAGCCCCGGCUAACUUCGUG